rnacentral:rRNA from 1 species
AUACGGAGGAUGCGAGCGUUAUCCGGAUUUAUUGGGUUUAAAGGGUGCGUAGGCCGUGCGUUAAGUCAGGGGUGAAAUGCCGUCGCUCAACGACGGAGCUGCCCUUGAUACUGGCGUGCUGGAGUACGGAUGCCGUUGGAGGAAUGAGUGGUGUAGCGGUGAAAUGCUUAGAUAUCACUCAGAACACCGAUUGCGAAGGCAUCUGACGAAUCCGACACUGAGGCGGAGGCAGGAAUGCGUGGGGAUAGACCAGGAUUAGAUCCCCUGGUAUGCCACGCCGUAAACGAUGAUGGCUAAGCGGCGGCGAUAGCCAGCGGGUGGCCAAGCGAAAGCGAUAAGUCAUCCGCCUGGGGAGUACGGCGGCAACGAGGAAACUCAAAGGAAUUGACGGGG